rnacentral:rRNA from 1 species
AUGAUUGAUCUCUUCAAUUCAAUGAAAAGCAACGGUAUCGAAGCCACCUGUCAUGUUUUCAACAUAUUAAUUGGUGCAUAUGCUAAAUGUGGAGUGAUGGAUGAGGCUAUGCUCACAUUUACUGAAAUGCGGCGACAAGGAGUGAGUCCGGAUGUAUUCACCUAUGCAACUGUAAUAGUCUCACUUUGUAGAACAAGUAGGCUGGCCAAUGCUAUUGACAAAUUCGAUGAGAUGAUUGCCAUGGGAGUACAGCCAAACAGACCUGUUUAUCAGUCCCUAAUUCAGGGUUAUUGUAUAAUCGGUGAUGCGGUUAAAGCUAAGGAGCUGGUUUCUGAAAUGAUGAACAAAGUUAUUCCCCGUCCUGACAUUGCGUUCUUCACUUCAAUAAUAAACAGUCUAUGCAAAGAACGAAGGGUUAUGGAUGCACAAGUUAUCUUUGACUUGGUUAUAAUGUGA